rnacentral:lncRNA from 1 species
AUGGGAUGGAUCAAUAGCUCAAUAUUAUCAGCUACUACGUAUCGACAUUUCCAGCACACUAGGCACUGUGCUAAGAACUUCUACGUACAUUUAAUUCCGCUGUGUCCGAAAUACACCAAGCAAAACCCCUGUAAACUCCAAAGAUGCCCCUGGUCACAAGAGCUUUAUCCCAAUACAAUUGGUGGUGCCUCUCAAAGUGAUUUGGCUGUGCUGGUAAUCUCGGCCAGGAGAGGAGAGUUCGAAACUGGAUUUGAUAAAAGGAUACAAGAGAACUUUAUGCGACGUUGGCAAAGGCAACAAAUGUAAAACACCCAACUGUGUUUAUUAGUAAGAUGAAUGAUCCAACGGUAAAUUGGAGCAAUGAGAGACAGGAAGAAUAUGAAGAGAAACCUGAGCCAUUUUGAAACACGUUGGCUUCAGUCCCCAAAACUGCAUUCACUUUAUGCCAGUUCAGGACUAACUGGAGCACAUUUCAAAGAGCAAUUGGAUUUCUGUACUUAGUGCAUUGGAUGACUGUUUAUAUCUGGGUAGUUUGUCAGACUUCGGUAGAUCAGUUGUUGGACAGAUUGGGCUGCUAAUUCUGGAUAAGUAAAAGGAUAUGGGCACUGUUGCCCUGAGAAAGCUGGAGUCAGGGUCUGUAAAGGCCAGCAGCUCGCGAUGAUGCCGAAACACAAGGUCUUGGAACACUUUACAGUGAUGUGGAGGCUGAUACUGCAGUCCCGUGUGAGAAGCUCACACUCAGACCGAAAGGAAUUGAAGAGGAGGAAAUUCUUCCAGGAUUUAUGCUUUAUGAUGCUAAUAAUCUUUGUCAUGCUGGAUGCACAUUUGGUGCUUAGAUAUCACUAUCACUUAGAUAUCACUUAGAUAGUGGAGCACAGACUAAUCAUCUGCCUGUAGCUUAAUUCACUGCUGCGGAUGUAUACCGGUACUGGGGACCUCACAAUAACAGCCUUAACCUGCUUCGUAGACAGAGAGGGAGACGCAGCCCUGCUCUGUGAAGAUCAAGUAUGCCUUGUUCCUUUAAGGAGAGCAGCAGCCACCUGCGUCAAGUCCUUUAAAGACGUCCUCAGAUGCGUCAUUUUACUUUAAGAGAUGAGGGCAAGACUUGUCAUGGGAAAAGUUCUAAAACUGUUUCCAGAGGAAAACUAAGCAUCUUCUCGAUGAUCUUGCAAAAGACUGUGAGGAAAAAUGGACUGUAAAAAGCAUAUAUCAACUUCUCUAAUUUUUAACUCAAUUGUAAACCUCUCCCCAUAUUUGCGAAGAGAAAAUUCACAGCAAAAGUCCACAUUAUGUCGCUUUCUUAAAUUGAGAGCUCUGCUAUGCCACUGUCGAAUUUUUAAGAUAUUUUUCCCCCUUUUCAAGCUCUGCUUCCUUGGAUAGAUUUGGUGAUGGCUUUGUGGGUCAGGUAGGCAUAACUGCCUACAAUAACAAAAACCUACAGCAUUUUUUUUCUCCUUGUAUUUUCUCCCAGGCAGAUCAUUCUGAGUGUGUGAGGAUGUGUGCAUAUGUUAAGACAACAACCAUAUUAAGUAUUCAAUUUGAAAAAAGAGAAGAUUAGGACAUAAACAGUUACAGAGGGACGACCUCGUAAAGACAUGGGGAGAAGAUGACUAUCACUAAGCCAAGGGGAGUAACCUCAGAAAGAAACCGACCAUAUCAUCACUUUGAGCCUACACUUCCAGCCUCCAGAACUGUGAGAAUAGUUGUCAGACACACCCAGUCUGUGGUACUUUGUUAUGGCAGCCCAAAUAAACUAAUAUAUUAUUUGUUAAAAAUAUAUUUUAUUCCAGUUUUAUUUAAAUAUCCUUAAUGAUUAAUAAUGAGUAUUUUUGUGUUCAUUUUACCAUCUGUAUCUCUUCUA